CGCUCCCAAGUCCCGAAGACGAAAGAAGGAGAGAGAGAGAGAGAGAGAGAGAGAGAGAGAGGGGUUGGGAACUGCACAAAGGUAAAGCAAGAUAACGAGCGCGACGAAAAAGUUAGGUGCGACAGCGGUCAGUGGACCGUAGUAACUCCCCUCCCCCACUCUUCAUUAUUACCGAAAACAACCUCGAAGCUGUGACGACGACAGCAGUAACACCUCCACGCCCUCCGUUCCUAUUUAUUCCGUCACCCCUCCCAGAAGACAACCUCCUUCCCCAACAACCCCAACAGCUUCACUCGGAGGGUGCGCGGAAUACACAGAGGAGGCGAUGAAGGAGGUCGUCAAGUUGGAGGAGGAGAACGGAGGAGUGGUAGACCCUCGGCUGCAGGCCAUCAAGGCUGCCAUCCGUGUGGUUCCCCACUUCCCCAAGCCAGGGAUCAUGUUCAAUGAUAUUACGACCAUGCUGCUGCGGCCCAAGGUGUUCAAGGAUGCCGUGGAGAUCUUCGUCGAUCGCUACAGGGACCUGAGCAUCUCCGCAGUUGCUGGAGUUGAAGCUAGAGGAUUCAUAUUUGGCCCGCCAAUUGCUUUAGCACUUGGUGCAAAGUUCAUACCAUUGCGUAAGCCUAAGAAGUUGCCAGGUGAGGUUAUUUCAGAAUCUUACGUUCUGGAGUAUGGCACUGACUCCUUGGAAAUGCAUGUUGGAGCUGUUCAGCCAGGGGAGCGUGUAAUUAUCAUUGAUGAUUUGGUUGCUACUGGUGGGACACUAUGUGCUGCAAUAAACCUUCUAGAGCGUGUUGGAGCUGAUGUGGUUGAAUGUGCAUGUCUGAUUGGUUUACCUAAAUUUAAGGGUGGUUGCUGGCUAAAUGGAAAACCGGUGUAUGUACUUGUUGACUGCCGACAAUAGGAUGUCAUCCAGAUAUCUACAAAACAACUUGAAACGGAGCAUCUAAUAGCAGUUCAUGGGAGUCAUCAGUCAAUACAGCACAAGAAAGAGCGUAAUGCAUCUUACCUGACAUAUACCUGUCAUUGGUGAUGAAGGAUAAAUUUUGGUUAGGGAAUAUUUACAUACAAGCUUGUGAUCCAAGGUUGCAACGGAUAUGAACUAUUGUGGGCAAGCAGUCGAUGUUUGAUGAGUCGUGGUAGAAUAGUUAUGGGUAGCUUUACAUGUUCAGUAGUCCUGGGGUUCUCUAUGAAAAUUCUGGAGUUCAGUUAAUUUGUCUUCUUUUUCAUUGUUCCAGUUUUGCACUAAGAAAUUUGAUCUACAUACACUUGGACCUUAAAAGAAAUUUGAAAUAAAAGUUCAUUUUCUUGGAAAUCA